GCUUCCUCUGCUCUAUGCAACAGUCCUCUUUCGAGAUUUCCAGUCCUUGAAAGGACCUAGCCUAGAACUGCAAAGUUGGCCCAUUUGAGUUGAAGAGUGGAGGCGAGGCUCCACCUUUGCCACGCCCAGCAGUGGGAGCACAGCAGCAUUGUUUGUAAUAGCCAGAACCUGGAAACAACCUAGAUGCCCUUCAAUUGAAGAAUGGAUGAAGAAAGUAUGGAAUAUAUACAUAUUAGAGUACUACUCAGCAGUAAAAAAACAAGGACUUCUUGAAGUUUGCAGGCAAAUGGAUGGAAAUAGAAAACACUAUCCUGAGUGAGGUGAACCCACGAUCUUUCCUUGGGAAAAUUAACUCAGCAAUCUCCUCUGCUGACUGAUAAGCCAGAAGUGUGACCUGCCUGUUUGAAGAACAAUAUCGCCUCUGAUCUGAGACUGCAGUGGUUGUCUGCUGUCUACAUCAGACACCUCUAUGGUGGGUGGAACACUGGGGGCCAGCGGCUCAAACAGGCUCCAGGACUUCAUGCCUGCCUUUGCUAGUCCACACACUCAACAGACAUUUGUUGAGCGGGUAUUUUAGAAAGCUGCUUUCAAGGAUCUGUCGGUGCUGGGGGCGGGGGGAAGAAAAGCAUAAUCAAACAGGUGUAGUAGAGAGCUCCAUGAAAGAGAAAACCCAAGUCAGAUGCAGAAGAUAGAGAGUUUGCCUGAGAUCCACAUCCCUGUGCGGAGGAGUAGCAUGAUCAGAGAUUCAGACGUGGGAAGAGGGCAGUGUGAUGCAGGACUCCUAGGGAUGCCUGCAAUCUUGGGCGUGUGGCUGUGCGCCUGAGUUUUGGUGUUGGAAUCAGCCUGCCAAACCAGCAGGUAGAGAGGUGUCGGAUGAUGAAAGGCCUGAAUCUGGACCUUCCAAUGAGAACUGGAUUGGAAGACGGCAAACCGAUGCACAGCAAGACGAUACAUGAAAUCUGAAAGCGUCGUUCUGCACACAGUCUGAGAACCGGGCUGAGGCUAAGAGGCAGCGGGAGAAGUCAGAAAAGAUAGGACAAGGAACCAAUGUCAUCAUGGACUAGGAUGCUACAAACUUGUGAUCUAUAGACCACCACUAGAGUCCAUAAACCAGACUGAAGGCCAGUCCUGGCGUGAGGACCCUGAAGUGACGAGGCGGUAGAGUUGCAGCUUUCAGUACCCUCAGAUGGCCCAGGAAGAGAGUCUUCCUUUGCGGUUCACGCCAGGGCAAUGCAAACUGAGCUAUGCAUUUACUGUAACUCUAAUCAGAUGAUUCUAUAAUUGGAAGGACACCAGUGGCAUGCUGUCUUUGGAGUCUUCUCCAUUAAGCAACUGAACAAGGGCCAGGGGACCUUUGCUUGUCCCAAAUGCAGAUGCUGAUCGAGACUCUGGGAUGUGUGUGUCAUUAUGUUCCAUUCUAUUAUGGGAUCAUGUUCCUUUGUCUCUCUUGGUAAGAUUAUGAAAUGCGGGUAGCAGUCAUUUCCCACAUAGUCUCAAUAAAUUCCUACUAGUUGUGAUUCCAGCUAUGGAAAACAAGGAAUUAAAAUCUCUGUGUGUGUGUGUGCGCGCACACACACACGUGCAUGCACGUAAGCCCACACACAAGUAUUUGGAGCAGGGUAUGUCUGCAGGUAUGGGGAUAAACAUUUUAGGUAACUAUUUCUGAGUCUAGAUCAUAAUCAUAUUUGGCAAUAACUAGCUGAAAAUAACAAAAGUAAUAAAUAAUAACUUGAAUUACAAAGCUCUUUCAAUAUGUAAAGUGGAACAAAGAGAAGCAUUAUGGACAGGAGCAUUGCGGAACUAGUUUGUGAUAGGAGCAGUCCAAAGUGCUGUGAGAAACACAGAAAUAAAUCAGAUGUAGACCUCAGCUGGAAAUGCUAAUAAGAGAGAGAGAGAGAGAGAGAGAGAGAGAGAGAGAGAGAGAGAGAGAGACUACGAUCAUAAAAGCCCAUAAUCUGAGGCAGAAAGUUCAAGGACUUAGAAGAAGAAGAGACCUCUAAAUGGCAAGAGCUGGUUGGAUUCUUGCUGGAGGUGAGAUUUUUAAGGCAGUCUUUACUGGAUAGAAAAGAUUUAGCCCAAAAGGACAGAGAAGAAAUUGCAGGAUCCCAGGCUCGUACAGAAACAGGAGGCCAUGGAGCUGGUGAGGGUUGCCUGCAGGAGCAAGCCAAGGGUACAGCAGGUGCCUGCGGUCUCAUUAAAAUACAGUUCUGAUCUAGGGCAGUCUGGGCGACCCUGACAUUCUGCACUCCUAAUGAACUCCCAGGUGACGCUUCUGCGGCAUUCUGGGGACCCCUUGUCGCGACAGGAAGCCUUUGAAGUGUCUUGAUAGUAGGACAGUGUUUCUGUUCUUACCUCCAGUCUUAAAAUGUCUCUCUAAGCACUGCUUCUCAAUCUUCUAAAUUCUGGGACCCUUUAAUACAGUUCCUCAUGUUGUGGUGAACCCCCAACCAUAAAAUCAUUUCGUUGCUACUUUGUAACUAUAAUUUUGCUACUGUUAUGAAUCAUAAUGUAAACAUCUGAUAUGCAGGAUAUCUGAUACGGGACUCUUGUGAAAGGAUUGUUCGGUCCCCAGAGGGGCCAAGACCCACAGGUUGAGAACGCUUUAAGUAACAGUCUGAUGUUUGGCACACAUGGCAGCAGGCACGGCAAGGGGGCAGGUGUUCCUCUGAGCCUUUGCUUUGUCCCACCUUCCUCUUCUUCUAGUGAACCGAAGAAGCCAGAUGGCAAAAGAGUACACUGAGGGUUGGGGAGGGGCACACACUAAAGACCUGGAUUCUAGAAACCAGACAAUGGGAACUGCAGUGCAAAUGCUUCUUUAAUUUCACAAAUGGUUCCUUCCCCUAAACUGUUCACUGAAGGGCAGGGGUGAUUAGCUCCUGUGCAUUUGACAUUGGCUUAGAAUACUGGCCCUCUGCCUUGAUCCCUAA